CAUUUUUACCUACCAAAGUUAUAAGAACUUUAACAUUUUUACAUUCAAGGUCACAGUGACCUUGACCUUAGAAUGAAUGACCUUGAAAUGACCAGUGGUCAUCUAAGUGUGCUUGCAAACCUUCAUGUCAAGUUUGAAGACUCUAUGUCCAAGCAUACCAAAGUUAUAACAAUUUUAACAUUUUAACAUUUAAGGUCACAGUGACCUUGACCUUCAAAUGAAUGACAUUGAAAUGACCAGUGGUCAUCUUCUAGUACUGGCCAAUCUUUAUUUCAAGUUUGAAGACUCUAGGUACAAGCAUACCAAAGUUAUACCAUGAAAUAAGAACUUUAACAUUUUUACAUUCAAGGUCACAGUGACCUUGACCUUCAAAUGAAUGACCUUGAAAUGUCCAGUGGUUACUUACUAGUUCUGGCCAACCUUCAUGUCAAGUUUCAAGACUCUAGGUCCAAGCAUACCAAAGUUAUAACAACUUUAACAUUUUUACAUUCAAGGUCACAGUGACCUUGACCUUCAAAUGAAUGACCUUGAAAUGUCCAGUGGUUACUUACUAGUUCUGGCCAACCUUCAUGUCAAGUUUCAAGACUCUAGGUCCAAGCAUACCAAAGUUAUAACAACUUUAACAUUUUUAUAUUGAAGGUCACAGUGACCUUCACCUUCAAAUGAA